rnacentral:rRNA from 1 species
UUGCAGGGUACUCGAGUGGCGAACGGGUGAGUAACACGUGGGUGAUCUGCCCUGCACUUCGGGAUAAGCUUGGGAAACUGGGUCUAAUACCGGAUAGGAGCCAUCUUUAGUGUGGUGGUUGGAAAGUUUUUUCGGUGUAGGAUGAGCUCGCGGCCUAUCAGCUUGUUGGUGGGGUAAUGGCCUACCAAGGCGGCGACGGGUAGCCGGCCUGAGAGGGUGUACGGCCACAUUGGGACUGAGAUACGGCCCAGACUCCUACGGGAGGCAGCAGUGGGGAAUAUUGCACAAUGGGCGCAAGCCUGAUGCAGCGACGCCGCGUGGGGGAUGAAGGCCUUCGGGUUGUAAACUCCUUUCGCUAGGGACGAAGCUUUUUUGUGACGGUACCUAGAUAAGAAGCACCGGCU